CGGGACGGGUGAGUAAUGUCUGGGAAACUGCCUGAUGGAGGGGGAUAACUACUGGAAACGGUAGCUAAUACCGCAUAACGUCGCAAGACCAAAGAGGGGGACCUUCGGGCCUCUUGCCAUCGGAUGUGCCCAGAUGGGAUUAGCUAGUAGGUGGGGUAACGGCUCACCUAGGCGACGGCCCCUAGCUGGUCUGAGAGGAUGACCAGCCACACUGGAACUGAGACACGGUCCAG
rnacentral:rRNA from 1 species